AUCCAGCUGAAGAGUCCAAAAUAGGAUGAAAUGUGCAUUUACUGGAU
rnacentral:hammerhead_ribozyme from 1 species